rnacentral:rRNA from 1 species
UACGGGAGGUGCGAGCGUUGUUCGGAAUGACUGGGCGUAAAGCGCACGUAGGCGGGCUUUUAAGUCGGAUGUGAAAUCCCCGGGCUUAACCCGGGAAUUGCAUUCGAAACUGGAAGUCUUGAAUGCUUGAGAGGUUGAUGGAAUUCUUGGUGUAGGAGUGAAAUCCGUAGAUAUCAAGAGGAACACCAGAGGCGAAGGCGGUCAACUGGCGAUGCAUUGACGCUGAGGUGCGAAAGCGUGGGUAGCAAACAGG